UACGUAGGGUGCGAGCGUUGUCCGGAAUUAUUGGGCGUAAAGAGCUCGUAGGCGGCCUGUUGCGUCCGCUGUGAAAACCCGAGGCUCAACCUCGGGCCUGCAGUCGAUACGGGCAGACUAGAGUUCGGUAGGGGAGACUGGAAUUCCUGGUGUAGCGGUGAAAUGCGCAGAUAUCAGGAGGAACACCGGUGGCGAAGGCGGGUCUCUGGGCCGAAACUGACGCUGAGGAGCGAAAGCGUGGGGAGCAAACAGG
rnacentral:rRNA from 1 species